GCCCGGCCCGCUCUCCUCUUCCUUCUUCCUCCUCCUUCCCUCACUUGGACGUUAGCUUCAGGACAAGAGAGAGAGAGAGAGAGGGACGCUUGCCGAAGGACGCAAGGAAGCGCGACGAGGAAUAUCGUGCGGUACGGGGCGGCCAGAGGCAGCUGGCGUCGUCCUUGGAGAGAGAGAGAGAGAGGCGUUUAAAGACGGGAGAGAGGGGAGUCCUUCGGGGGGGAUAAACGGGGGAGAGCGACGUCCGACAGAGAGCUUCGUAAGAGAGGGUUCUUCGGAGAAGAAACAGGAGGGCUUCAUUCCAUCGCUGGUUUUGCUGAAGCUCGAAGAAGCAACACGAAAUUCCACGCGGUGAUGAAGAAGAAGAGGACGACAUGCCUUGCUUGAACAUCUCGACCAACGUCGGCCAUGACGGCGUCAACCCAUCAGGCUUCCAUUUUUCGCUCAUGCUUUGCAAUGGAGACAAAUUCGUCUCGACCCACGAAACUAUAUAGGGCGAUGGUGCCCCAGCUCGCGUUCUCGGUACUUCUGCUGAUGAGCUUGUACCCUUGCGAGUCGCUCGACAUUGACUUACGAAACGACGCCGCGCUUUUGCUGUUUGGGUCUUGCGCGCAGGGCCCGAGCCAGAGCUUGUCCGCUUGGUUGGGGUCCAACUGCACGAACUGGACGCGAGGCACCAUAUGCUCGGCCGGCUCGUGUCGAUUGUGGUGAAGGAGCUCCUGAACGGCCAGCGGGUGGCGGUGGUCCGGUGAUGGAGGUUCCCGGCCUGCUGCUAAGGAAGAAUCAGCUGCGCUUCCUGCAAUUCCAGUAGCUAAACCGAAGCUAAGUCCUCUCUGCCUUCUCUGGUUUUCGAGUAUUGUCCAAUUAUAACUCUCACUUCUUGCCAUUAUCUUAUCUAGUUUAAUUAAAUAAAUGCGUGGCGGUGCGCAGUGCCUUAUGAGAAGUUAACGUAGACACUUUCUCCACCCAACAACUGUCAAUUUUUCUUCUAUUUUCUUUUCUUUUCUUUGGCUAAAUUAAUUGUGAUUUACACAAAUGAAGAAAUGCCAUGAUUUUUUAAAGAGAAUUCGUCAAGCUUCAUCAUAUUAAUAUUAAAUAAUAUUAAAUGAGUAGACAAAAACGUGUCUCCGCCAAGUGACAACAUUAGAGGAAAAUGUAACAAAAGAAACCUGCACCAAACAUGUCACCGAAGCAUAUGUCAUUAACCAAUUUAAUGUUAUGAUCAAAUUGAACUAAAGCAGAGGAUUGUCAUAACUAACUUAGCACGGUCAUGACAAACUCGGAGUUGAAGUUAAAGAGGUUAAACUCAAAUCUCGUAACAAACAAAAAAGUGACUUAAGAUUGAAAGUUUAUGGUAGAAAAAGAGGGAUAAAGGCACGAAUAGAUCCUGAUCUCUUGUAAAAGUGUUCGAUUGUUCAUAUUGAUCCUUUUGUUAAAAAUACUGCUGAUAUGGCACUUAAAUCACGAUUAAAUGCCACGGUGGCACCCUAGUUGACAAUUUGGAGGGUUAAAUAUCAACAUCUGAUGGAAAGUUUCUAUAGCUGAGAUGAUGUGCAAUGGUGGAUUUGUGGCUGUAGAGGAAAUGUCGGCUUAGGAAUUAGUGUAUUUGAGUGGAACUAGUUAAUUGAAUGAGGUGGGAUAUGAUAAAUGAACUAAGUGGAAGGUGGGAUAUAACGCCCCUCAAGUGCUCUCUUAUAAAGAACAUGUAACUUUGCUAUCAAUUUGCUUUCACUCCCUUGAUUAUGAUCUUACGGCUCUUAUACUUUUCUUUCCUAAUUGUUGUUUCUAAUCAAAUAGUCAAUAUAUAUGCAGGGAACAUUGAGGAGUGCAAAAAUUUUCUUGAUACCUUCAUGUAACUUCGUUACCUGUGGGGAACAUGUUUGAAACCACAUUGAGGUUCAAUGCCUUCAGCUGUCAUUUACACUUGAUUUUGCUUCUGAGCUGGAAUGGAGCCUUCAGGCCAAACUAGUGAGCUAAAUUAUCAUGGGAUUGAUGAUUAACACAGGUUUUUUGUAUAUGGGCUAACGGCAUAAGAGGUUUCUGAACAUUUUCGACUUAUAUUAUCGUCUCUCAAUUAUUAUUGUUAUUAUUAUUUUUCAAUCAAAGUCCUUUUAGCUUUUUGUUCAAGACGGUCCUCUAGUCAAACAGUUGACUGAUAUGCCGACAUGUCCAAUUGCCCAUCCACAACACACCGUCGUUCUUCUUUCGGAAAAUUUCUUGGGUGGAAUAGAGAAUAAAAAAAGUUAAAGGAAACCCUCAAGAGUGAGAAAGAGAGGAGGGGGGAGGCCAGGGUAAGGGUGACUUGGCAGAGGAACGCGGCGGGGCGGCGAUAUCACCCAGCCACCGCCAGGGUCUAGGCAAUUGGCCCACCGGGCCUUCGGAUGCCACACGCACAACAACGAAAUCUUCAAGAAAAGAGAAAUCAAACCUCUGGUUCCACAAACAUGAAACAGCAAAAUUCUCGAAACACGGAGCCAUGACAUACCAAGCUCUUUUCUUUUUGGGCGUUGGCUCUAUUUGAGAGCCGUGCCCUCUGAAUCACAGACCACAGAGAAAAGAAAGAGAAAUCAAAUCACAAAGCACUUGUUGUUUUACUUAAUCCUUGUGAUCUAGUUUUUGUUAUUUAUCGACAGCGGUUUGGCAACUAGUGAAGCUAUGAACGCAUAAAAUUCUCAUACUC